CACGUAGGGCGCAAGCGUUGUCCGGAAUUAUUGGGCGUAAAGAGCUCGUAGGCGGUCCGUCACGUCCGCUGUGAAAACCCAGGGCUCAACCCUGGGCUUGCAGUGGAUACGGGCAGACUAGAGGUAGGUAGGGGAGAAUGGAAUUCCCGGUGUAGCGGUGAAAUGCGCAGAUAUCGGGAGGAACACCGGUGGCGAAGGCGGCGUGCUGGGUUGCAACUGACGCUGAGAUGCGAAAGUGUGGGGAGCAAACGGGG
rnacentral:rRNA from 1 species